rnacentral:rRNA from 1 species
UACGGGAGGCAGCAGUGGGGAAUAUUGGACAAUGGGCGAAAGCCUGAUCCAGCCAUGCCGCAUGAGUGAAGAAGGCCUUCGGGUUGUAAAGCUCUUUUAGUGAGAAAGAUAAUGACGGUACUCACAGAAGAAGUCCUGGCUAACUCCGUGCCAGCAGCCGCGGUAAUACGGAGAGGGCUAGCGUUAUUCGGAAUUAUUGGACGUAAAGAGCGCGUAGGCUGAUUAGUAAGUUAAAAGUGAAAUCCCAAAGCUUAACUUUGGAAUUGCUUUUUAAAACUGCUAGUCUAGAGAUUUGAAAGAGGAUAGAGGAAUUCCUAGUGUAGAGGUGAAAUUCGUAAAUAUUAGGAGGAACACCAGUGGCGAAGGCGUCUAUCUGGUUCAAAUCUGACGCUGAGGCGCGAAGGGCGUGGGGAGCAAACAGGGAUUAGAUACC